CCCCUUCCGCUGAGCCAUGGCGACUCCCGACGUGAGUGUGCACAUGGAGGAGGUGGUGGUUGUGACAACUCCGGACACUGCAGUGGACGGCAGUGGUGUGGAGGGGGUGAAGACCGUGUUGGUGACGACCAACUUGGCCCCUCACGGGGGCGACCUGACAGAAGAUAACAUGGAGACAGAAAAUGCAGCGGCGGCAGCUGCCGCGGCCUUCACAGCCUCCUCCCAGCUCAAGGAAGCCGUGUUAGAUGGCUGAAGAGGGGGAGAACCUGGAGGCUGAGAUUGUGUACCCCAUCACCUGUGGGGACAGCAGAGCCAACCUCAUCUGGAGGAAGUUUGUGUGUCCCGGCAUCAAUGUGAAAUGUGUUCAGGUGAGCACAGGCUGCAUUCAGGGCCCAGGAGAGAGGCCUCAUGGCGUCUGUGACUGCUUUGGGGG
rnacentral:lncRNA from 1 species